rnacentral:rRNA from 1 species
AUACGUAGGGUGCAAGCGUUAAUCGGAAUUACUGGGCGUAAAGCGUGCGCAGGCGGUUUUGUAAGAAAGAGGUGAAAUCCCCGGGCUCAAACUGGGGACUGCCUUUGUGACUGCAAGGGUAGAGUAAGGCAGAAGGGGAUGGAAUUCCCCGUGUAGCCGUGAAAUGCGUAGAUAAGCGGAGGAACACCGAUGGCGAAGGCAAUCCCCUGGGCCUGUACUGACGCUCAUGCACGAAAGCGUGGGGAGCAAACAGGAUUAGAUACCCUGGUAGUCCACGCCCUAAACGAUGUCAACUGGUUGUUGGGUCUUCAUUGACUCAGUAACGAAGCUAACGCGUGAAGUUGACCGCCUGGGGAGUACGGCCGCAAGGUUGAAACUCAAAUGAAUUGACGGGG